UUAGAUGAUGUAAGUGGCAUUUUUGGUGGU
rnacentral:piRNA from 1 species